ACUCGUCGGAGGCUCUUCCUCCGGAGCCAAACAUGCCGGAAGCGGCCGUUCUCAGCGCUUCUCCGCAGGCCUCGCCGAGCGAGCCCUAUUGUAAAGCACCCUGGGCCGCGCUGAGUCUCACGGGAGCUGUAGUUCCCGGCGCCCCGCCGCAUCCCCGGCUCCGGGAGAGGAGGAGCGGCAAGAGAGCGUGCGCCGAGUCACGCUUCGGGCCGCGACGCAACCGCCGCUGGGCGGAGAGUUGCCGCCAACCGCCUUAACGGCCGAGACAAUGUUCGUGGCUCUCGGCGUCUGCGGGCGCGUUCCUGUCAGCGCGUUCGUGGGCCUUUGCGUCGUUUUACACCGAGUCGGUGGUCUCCUUAGGUACUUUUAAAGUUUCACGUUCCUCGCGUGACCUUUGUCAGAACAUUUCCCUGAAGAUUUAAUUGGAAGUAAAUUGUUGAAACUGAAAUUACUUCAUGACAUUGGAAAAGGAGUAAUUGUUCCUGGCUCUAGAAGUCGUUAAGAUAAAGAUCAUUACAUGUGAAGAUAAGGAUUUGGGAACACCCAGUGAGAAUUCUCCUGAAAGAAAGUAAAUAUAUAUGGCCCAAUUCUUAGGAGUGUUGUAAUUGUCUUUUAGAACAAUGCAAAUGGGGAUCCCUGGGUGGCGCAGCGGUUUGGCGCCUGCCUUUGGCCCAGGGCGCGAUCCUGGAGACCCGGGAUUGAUUCCCACAUCAGUCUCCCGGUGCAUGGAGCCUGCUUCUCUCUCUGCCUGUGUCUCUGCCUCUCUUUCUCUCUCUGUGACUAUCAUAAAUAAAUAAAAAAUUAAAAAAAAAAAAAAAAAGAACAAUGCAAAUGUUACUCAGCAAUAACACACAGGAACAUUG